CAGAUAAUCUCCUGCAGCUGGGUUACUCGAGGUGUGGCAGAUAAGCACUGAGGAAGGGGCUCUUGCCUUAGUAGUGACUUGAGCGGCUGUUGCUCUCUAUAUGGGGAAUGGUGAUAGCCUGUCCUUGUAUGAAUGAGGUGUCUGCACCUAGAUGUGAGCUGAAGAGUCCCUGAAGUCCCCCUGGAGAGCUCCUCCUUGUCUCCUGCCCUUAGCUUGCAGGUAGCAUCAUUGAAAACUAGAGCUGAAGCUAAGAACAGCACUCAUAACCCAAGCUGCAAUGCCACCAGUCAAGCAGGAUGCUUUGUGAAGAGGAGAAACAGCAUGUGUGUAUGUGUGUCUGGGAAUGCAAAUUCUUUGUGGCUGUGGUCCAUUAUGGCUUCUAGCUGGGAGAACAUGCCUAAAUGUGAUCGACUUUCACGCCGUGCUUGCUGCAACUAUGGCGAGGACACUGCUGUUUGACCAUAAGAUGAAGUUGCUGCAUGAGGGUGGUUAAUUCUCCACUGGGAAGGUGCCCUUCAGACUGGCUUGUUUCUGUACUUGCACUGGAAAUGCAAUUUUACUGGCAUACAAGAACACAGUGGAUUUUCUGCCUUGGACUACUUCAGUAUGGAGGAUGUAUAGGAUGUAUAUGAUAUAGGAUGUAUAGGAUGGGAGCUUGCCAGACAAAUGUUAUGAAUUUAUUAUUUUCAUGCUCCCUUUGUGUGGGAAGCACUAUUCUUGCUCCCAGAACCCUGCUGUCUGUGGGGUGCAGGAGCUGCCAAGGGGUCUGCAGGAGCAGGGUGGGCCACGGCACUGGCUGGCCAGGCUCCAGAUGCUGGACCUCCUACUGUCACACCUUUGCAGAUGAAAAUGAAGAGUCUGUCAUCAGGAUAAGUGCUGCUGCUGCCAGGAGUGACAGUGUGUCUGUUUGGGUUGCAGAUGAACCGGUUCCCAGCAAUCAGAAGGAUGGUGUAAAAUGGGACACACUAGCAACAAGCAAAUUAUUAAGCCUGUAAGCAUAAAGAUUGCAAAUGUCUACUGGUUUCUUAACUUAUUAUUUUUGGCAGGGUUGCAUAUGUUCUCUGUGCUCAUUCCAUGAAACUAGCUGAUUAUUAUUCCAAUCACCAGAGGAAGAGAGAGUCACAUUAAUUUGUAGUAAUUAAUAGCACUGAUGCAUUUGACAGCGCAUGUUAACAAGCCUCUUUGAUUGUUUGGAUCUCUAACUGCGGCCCUUCUUGUUUGCAUCUCCUCCGAGGAAUUCAUAAUAUCAAAGCUUAACGGUAUCUGAUACUUGUCAAAAUGCAAUUUAUAAAAGUUUAAUUCUUUUAUUGAUUUAGUUUGGUUUUGAUGCCUGCAGAGUCAGCUCCCUUGACAGAACUUAGCGGAUUCAAAUGCUUGUCACCAGCUCGGCCUCCUUUUUGCAGGGAACAAUUGCCAUAGGCCAAGCCAACAGGCAUGGUUUAAUUGCCAUUAAUUAAAAGCAUAAAUCUCUUUUUUCUUCAGUUGCUCUGCUCUUAAAGGGGGCUGCAUCUCUCUCUCUUUUCCUGUGUUUGUCAGAACACCUUCUGGCAAGCCAACUUAACCCAUUCUGUCUUCCCAAGCACUUUCUAGAAUAAUCUUUUGAAGCAUAAAUCUUAUGAUCUGAUGUGAAAUGCAUGCAGUUUGGUGAUAUUUAACAAACUGGAUUUUGUCUUUAUUGCAGUAUAAUGAGGUCAAAUGAAUCCCUCCAUGGGUUGUAUACAUGCUUAAAUGGUUUCUGCAUCAAAUCCUUUUUGACAGCAAAUAAAACAGCAGCUAAACAAAA